rfam:Rattus norvegicus chromosome 15, whole genome shotgun sequence.
CUUUCCUGUAUAUUUCAUAAUCAUCUUUCAAAGCCACACAUUUCUUUCAGACCACCAAGAAUACAAUUC